rnacentral:rRNA from 1 species
AUUGAACGCUGGCGGCAGGCCUAACACAUGCAAGUCGAGCGGAUGAAGGGAGCUUGCUCCUGGAUUCAGCGGCGGACGGGUGAGUAAUGCCUAGGAAUCUGCCUGGUAGUGGGGAUAACAUCCGGAAACGGGCGCUAAUACCGCAUACGUCCUGAGGGAGAAAGUGGGGGAUCUUCGGACCUCACGCUAUCAGAUGAGCCUAGGUCGGAUUAGCUAGUUGGUGGGGUAAAGGCCUACCAAGGCGACGAUCCGUAACUGGUCUGAGAGGAUGAUCAGUCACACUGGAACUGAGACACGGUCCAGACUCCUACGGGAGGCAGCAGUGGGGAAUAUUGGACAAUGGGCGAAAGCCUGAUCCAGCCAUGCCGCGUGUGUGAAGAAGGUCUUCGGAUUGUAAAGCACUUUAAGUUGGGAGGAAGGGCAGUAAGUUAAUACCUUGCUGUUUUGACGUUACCAACAGAAUAAGCACCGGCUAACUUCGUG